CACUAAUGUGAAGUCCGAGUCAUUUUGGCGAACCGGUUGUUUCAAGCAGCUCGUUCGAAUGAACCAAUUCAAGAACGAUUCACUGAUUCUUUUACGUCAUGACGUAAUCAUGUCACCGUAUGCUAGUUUCUUUAAACAGGCACUUAGAUCUUCGGGUCUCUUGCUUCUAACCGUACCACGGUGUCGCUACAAAUCAAAGAAGGCGAAGGCAGACGCUCUCGUCGGUUAACGGAUCCUCGAGGUGUCCAAUAGCCGGCCGGCUGCCUGAAACCGCGCCCACAACACCGAACAGACCGAGGCCGAGUUUCCGCUUGAGUCAGAACUAGCCGGUUGUCACUGACGUAAGGACAUGUUUGGGCGGAAAAAAACAAAAACACCGUAGCGACGGCUGCGCGAGAAUGCGUGUUGUUGCUAUGGAAACACGCAGUAUUCGGCCCCGGUUAGUGCUGUACUUCUGUUUUCUGCGUUUGCCUUCACAACAUAUCUAUGUUAACAUAAAAUAUCACCGUG